GAUGAACGCUGGCGGCGUGCCUAAUACAUGCAAGUCGAGCGAACGGACGAGAAGCUUGCUUCUCUGAUGUUAGCGGCGGACGGGUGAGUAACACGUGGAUAACCUACCUAUAAGACUGGGAUAACUUCGGGAAACCGGAGCUAAUACCGGAUAAUAUUUUGAACCGCAUGGUUCAAAAGUGAAAGACGGUCUUUCUGUCACUUAUAGAUUGAUCCGCGCUGCAUUAGCUAGUUGGUAAGGUAACGGCUUACCAAGGCAACGAUGCAUAGCCGACCUGAGAGGGUGAUCGGCCACACUGGAACUGAGACACGGUCCAGACUCCUACGGGAGGCAGCAGUAGGGAAUCUUCCGCAAUGGGCGAAAGCCUGACGGAGCAACGCCGCGUGAGUGAUGAAGGUCUUCGGAUCGUAAAACUCUGUUAUUAGGGAAGAACAUAUGUGUAAGUAACUGUGCACAUCUUGACGGUACCUAAUCAGAAAGCCACGGCUAACUACGUG
rnacentral:rRNA from 1 species